rnacentral:rRNA from 1 species
CCUACGGGGCGCAGCAGUAGGGAAUCUUCCACAAUGGGCGAAAGCCUGAUGGAGCAACGCCGCGUGGGUGAAGAAGGUCUUCGGAUCGUAAAACCCUGUUGUUAGAGAAGAAAGUGCGUGAGAGUAACUGUUCACGUUUCGACGGUAUCUAACCAGAAAGCCACGGCUAACUACGUGCCAGCAGCCGCGGUAAUACGUAGGUGGCAAGCGUUAUCCGGAUUUACUGGGCGUAAAGGGAGCGUAGGCGGCCUGCCAAGUCUGAUGUGAAAUACCGGGGCUCAACCCCGGGGCUGCAUUGGAAACUG